rnacentral:rRNA from 1 species
AGUGAACGCUGGCGGUAGGCCUAACACAUGCAAGUCGAACGGCAGCACAGGAGAGCUUGCUCUCUGGGUGGCGAGUGGCGGACGGGUGAGGAAUACAUCGGAAUCUGCUCUGUCGUGGGGGAUAACGUAGGGAAACUUACGCUAAUACCGCAUACGACCUACGGGUGAAAGCAGGGGACCUUCGGGCCUUGCGCGAUUGCAUGAGCCGAUGUCGGAGUAGCUAGUUGGCGGGGUAAAGGCCCACCAAGGCGACGAUCCGUAGCUGGGCCGAGAGGAUGAUCAGCCACACUGGACCUGAGACACGGUCCAGACUCCUACGGGAGGCAGCAGUGGGGAAUAUUGGACAAUGGGCGCAAUCCUGAUCCAGCCAUACCGCGUGGGUGAAGAAGGCCUUCGGGUUGUAAAGCCCUUUUGUUGGGAAAGAAAUCCAGCUGGCUAAUACCCGGUUGGGAUGACGGUACCCAAAGAAUAAGCACCGGCUAACUUCGUGCCAGCCGCCGCCGUAA